GAUGAACGCUGGCGGCGUGCUUAACACAUGCAAGUCGAACGGAAAGGCCCAAGCUUGCUUGGGUACUCGAGUGGCGAACGGGUGAGUAACACGUGGGUGAUCUGCCCUGCACUUCGGGAUAAGCCUGGGAAACUGGGUCUAAUACCGGAUAGGACGAUGGUUUGGAUGCCAUUGUGGAAAGUUUUUUCGGUGUGGGAUGAGCUCGCGGCCUAUCAGCUUGUUGGUGGGGUAAUGGCCUACCAAGGCGUCGACGGGUAGCCGGCCUGAGAGGGUGUACGGCCACAUUGGAACUGAGAUAGGGGCCAGACUCCUACGGGAGGCAGCAGUGGGGAAUAUUGGACAAUGGGCGCAAGCCUGAUGCAGCGACGCCGCGUGGGGGAUGACGGCCUUCGGGUUGUAAACUCCUUUCGCUAGGGACGAAGCGUUUUUGUGACGGUACCUGGAGAAGAAGCACCGGCUAACUACGUG
rnacentral:rRNA from 1 species